GAAGAUGUAGGUUAUAAGGGAAUUACUGAGUUAGUUCUAGAUAGACUAACUCCAGAUUAUAGGAUUUUAAAAUCCACCUUACAUGGUGCUAAACAACAAAAUCAAACACAAGUUGUGACUAUUCCACCACAAAUAAAGAAGAUAAACAAACCCCUUAUUCUCACCAGACCACCAUCAUCACAAGAUACUAACAUUGGGUGUCAGAUUUGUGAUAAGUUUGGUUAUUUAGCAAGGAACUGUCCAGACAAGGGUAUUUUCUCAUACUACAUCACUAAGCUUCCAGGCUGACACAACAACAAGAAGAAAUCUCUGCAAAUACUAAUUCAGUAUCGAAUCUAGACUAGUGCCUUGACUCUGGAGCCAUCGACAACAUGACUGCAAAUGAAGAAUGCUUCCAGAACUUUGAGGAUUAUUCAGGUAAUGAAAGUGUAUUUGUAGGAAGUGGUGAUAAAUUGGCAAUUGAAUAAAUAAGCAGAGUAAUCAUUCGUUUAAAUUCUAAAUCAUUUACUCUAAAUAUGGUUCUAUAUCUUCCCAAGCUUAGGAAAAAAAUGAUUUCUUUAGAUAUACAAUGCAGUUUGGAAUUUACACUUGGUGCUUUCUUUUUUAAAACAGGGAGAUUAUAUAUAUUGAAAAUAAUAUAGGAGGCAUGUUUCUUAUUCAAGCUAAAGAAUAUGGGGCUAGAGUUGAUUCUUGACUUUUGUGGCACGUCAGAUUUGGACAUCCCUUUAUGAAGACAAUGAAAAAGGUCACUGAUCUGAAAAUAUAUAUGAAUAGUUUAUAUUUCCCAUUGGGUGAAAUAAGACAAUUAAUUUUUAAAAGGGCUGUAAUAAGUUGUAAAAAGUCCAUUAGAAACAAUAAAUGUAGACGAUCUAAAAGCCCCUACUCCAUUAGAUCUACAAAAUUAGUAUUUGGAUCAAAGUUUUUUGCUACAAUUGUUGAUGAUUUUAGUAGAUAUGGUUGGAUUUUAGAAUUGACAAAUAAAUCUGUUUAUUGUUUCAAAUUUAUAAACUUUGUUUAGAUGGUUG
rnacentral:lncRNA from 1 species